GUCCGUCGCCCACAGAACGUUAAGUUCCCGGGUGGCGGGCAGAUCGUUGGCGGAGUCUACUUGUUGCCGCGCAGGGGCCCUAGAUUGGGUGUGCGCGGCACUAGGAAGAGUUCGGAGCGAUCGCAGCCCAGGGGAA
rfam:Hepatitis C virus genotype 7, complete genome